UCCUCUGUAGUUCAGUGGGUAGUACGGCGGAGUUUUAAUCCGUAUGUCACUGGUUCGAGUCCAGUCAGAGGAGCCA
rnacentral:tRNA from 1 species